rnacentral:sRNA from 1 species
GCGGAAGGAUCAUUACCAAGAGAAAUCUUUCAACACUGAAAGAUCUUUUCCUUUGUGCUGGCUUUGACCGUAUGUAAUUUUGGGACUUUAAAAUGGUUCGCAAGGGCCGGUCCCAAAAACAAUAUAUCAUCCUUAUGAAAUUUUUUCUGAACAAUUAAACAAAUGAUUUUAAUAAUCUGUUUAAAACAACUUUCAACAACGGAUCUCUUGGUUCUCGCAUCGAUGAAGAACGCAGCGAAAUGCGAUACGUAAUGUGAAUUGCAGAAUUCAGUGAAUCAUCGAAUCUUUGAACGCACAUUGCACUCCUUGGUAUUCCGAGGAGUAUGCCUGUUUCAGUAUCAUGAGCACUCUCACACCUAACCUUUGGGUUUAUGGCGUGGAAUUGGAAUGCGCCGACUGUCAUGGUUGGCCCUUCUAAAAUGUAGUUCUUGGCUGUCACCUAAUACAGCAGUUUGGCCUAAUAGUUUUGGCAUUCAUUGUCAAAUCUUUGGCUAACAUUUGCUCCAGGAGUCAGUCUUGAUAAUACAGAAAACUCAUUCAAAUUUUGAUCUGAAAUCAGGUAGGGCUACCCGCUGAACUUAAGCAUAU